GGGGAGGCAAAUAUGCAUAAUUAAAAAGGAGACCAUCAUCUAAGGAAUUGACUUAAGGAAGAGUUCUUUAGCUGUUUGUGAUAGGGUGGAUGCAAAGAACGUUGCUCUCUGCCAUAAAACUUUAAGCCAGAAAAUUACCAAGAUAAAACAAAAACCAAACAAAAGCAGAUCUGGGCUGGUGGUGGUCAGUAGGGCCUGCUCACUCUCAUGAAUACAUUUACUCUUAAAAUCUUUGCAUUGAGCACAGUAAAAUUGCUCUGUGGUUAAAGGUGCUUACCUGUAAGCCUGAAGAUCUGAGAGUCUAGCCCUGAAUCCCACAUGAUAGAAGGAGAGAACCCAUUCUCACAGAUUGUCGCCUGAUCUCCACAAGCACACCGUGACAUCAUCAGCAUGCACGAACACACACACACACACACAUUUAAAUGUUUUAAAAUUAGGAAUGUCUAGCCCAUUGAGAUGCUGCACAACUCUAAUCCCAGCAUUUGAGAGGCAGAGGCAAGAGGGCUUAUGACUUUGAAGCCAGCCUGGUCUACAAAGUAAGUUCCCAUACAGCCGGGUCUGCACAGAGUAACCCUGUCUCGAAAACCCAAGUAAACAAGCAAACAAACCGGAAAUGAGUUCUUGCCAUGUGGAAUGUGAGAUCUGCUGCAAGAGAAUUGGACCUUGGGACUAUAUUCUGGUUGACACAUUGCUUAUUUGUUGGUCCUUCCUCUUGUAACACAUCUCAGUUAGCGGAGCCCAGCUAAGUCGCCGUUCAGACCUUAGGAACACACUUAGGAAAUACACGAGGAGCUUGGGGAUAUUCCUGCAACCAACCUGAGGUUAAGAGUCAGGAGAUGUGGCAAAGCUGAUACUUUCUUCUAUUUACCUGGGUCGGGUGACAGAAGAAUGGAGGGACCCCUGGCUUAGCUGCUCCGGGGCAGGUGGCAGAGUCGGAGGGUGGCAGGGUGCUGCUGUGGAGUCUCAGUCCUCCGGGAUCCCCUACCAGCCCCACAGUUGACCAGCUCUGGCAGACACCACCCACAGUGUGUCUGAAGGAACGACCUCUACUGGACCUGCUCCCUCCCCAUGGACUUUGGGAUGUUUCAAAGAAACUGAUGUCACUGCAAACAUUUUCAGUGUCCAUUCUCCCCGGGAGCCCUGCCCUUCUCUAUCAGCUAAGGGGUCAUGGAUGAUUGACAAAACUCAUAUUCUGAAUAGCGUUGUUAGUUGUCUACUGAAAUGUUGGGUGAUUUCCUGGGCAGCCAUUGUCAAGUCCAGGACUCCAUCGUGAUUGACAGCAGAAGGGAAGGGUCUACUCUCCUGAGCGAUCAAUCCCAUGCAGCUGGUUUCUGAUCAGGUUAAGGGAGAGAUGGCUCUGCAGUUAAGAGGCUGGCUGCUCUUCUGAGUUGAAUUCACAGCAGCCACAAGGUGGCUCACAACCAUGCAUAAUGGAAUCUGAUUCCCUCUUCUGGUGUGCAUGAACACCUGAGCAAUCCUAUACAUGAAAUAAGCAAAUAAAUAAAUCUAUAAAAGAAGAAGGACAACAAGAGGGAGGGGGACUCCUCUGGUGGACAGUUUUCCAUGGCGAGCCCUUAGGGGUUGGUUUUACUUUGGGCUUAAAAUAUGCCCUGGGGACCCCUUUGCUUUCUUAAGAGCUGUGAGUUUGAAGAGCUUCAAAAGGGAAAAGACUGAAGCAGGCUGUGGUGGUCAUCGAGCAGACUAAGUUACACAGCCUGCCUCAGCAAGGUGAAGCUGCGGGCCAAAGGAGAUGGCUCAGCAGAUAAAGUGUGGGGACCAGAAGGAACUGGGAUGCUCAGAACACAUAAAACCCAGGCAGCUGUGGCAGCCUCGCAUGGAUUUAGCAGAUUAUAAAGACAGGGCAAGGAGUUGAGCCAAGAUCAACAAGCUCUGGGUUCAGCAAGAGACCUCAGUAAGUCAAAAGGAGAUCAAGGAGACCCUCCUCAGGUCUCCAUCUGUGUACACACAUACACACAAAACUUUAAAAUGGAUCAGGGAGAGGAGUUGUCAAGAUACCUGGGCUGAGAAGGUGCUCGACCUAUGUAGCUUGCUGGAAGGAUUUGGCUGUUUCGGAUGGGGCAUUGCUGGAAGGACUUGGCUCUGUUUCGGAUGGCAUUCCUUGCUGAGCAAGCCCGUGUGGCUCCUACGUCUUGUACUGAGGUUGUCCACUUGAGGCUCUGCAUUCCUGACGGUAGCCUCAGCCUUUGCCGUGCUCAUCAAGCUCCUGGGGACAGCUGGAGAGAGAAGUGGGUGAGGACAGAGUGGGAGGUAGCCUCCUAAGAGGACAGGCCAGCCUCUAGGACAACUCUUGCUCAGCAACACUUCCUGUCCAGCCCCUCGCGGACCAUUUUCUGGACAAUGAUGCCCCCUAGUGGUACAAAAUUAUAACCCGCAGGUCAUUUAGAUUUAUACCUAGAUUUGCAAAUUGAACUCCCUUUAUGUGUUCUUUGACUGAAGGGUAAGCAGGCAACUGAAACUUUUUAGUUUAUUUAUGGAAGGGGGUUGGUCCAGGCUGGCUUUUAACUUACUAUGUAACAAAGAGUGACCUUUGACCUCUGAUCUUUUUACUUCCUGAGUGCAAGUGUCUGCGUUACCGGUUUAUGCUACCACACCCAGUUUACACAGAGCUGGAGAUCAAACGUGGGGCUUCAAGGAUGCUAAACAACUGUGCUACAUAUUCCAGCCUAAGAGUUCUCACUAUAAAAUGACAAAAAUGAUACAAAUAAAUAUAAAUUAAAAACUGAAGCGUGAAGGCUGGAGUGGAUGAUCAUGGGUUCGAAACUAGCCUGGACUAUAUAAUGCGAUGUUGUCAAAGAUAAAUAAAUGACAUGGGGCGUUGUUGGCAGGGGCUGGCUUAGCUGUGUGAUUAUGUAGCAAUCAGUUUUAGAAUCAUUGUUUAUGAAUUGUAUCAUGGUUUGUGCAAUUCUCUCUAUUUUUAUUCAUUAUAUUUCUUUGUGUGUAUGUGGGUGGGCAUCCUUUAGCCAUGGUGUUCUUGUGGAGGUCAGAGGAUCUACCCUGAGGGAUCUAGAAAGAGAUGGCAGGUUAUCAGGCAUCCACCUUGACCCACUGAACAUUCUCUGUAAUUCAAUAGCCCUAUUACGUUUAUAGUGCCGAAAAUUACCCUUUGACAGGCUGGCCCCUAUAAACCCAGGUUCAUCAUUUGGAUACACUCACUUGGUUCCUAGAAAUCUGAUGUCAGAGCUAGUUAUUGCACAUGUUCUUUCUUGUGCUGUAUAUUCAUCAUUGUGAUGGCCAGGAAAUACAGUGAAAGCAGCCAGGUGUAGGUGACACACGCCUUCAGUCCCAGCACUUGGGAGACAGAGGCAGGCGAAUCUCCGAGUUUGAGAACCUACAGAGUGAGUUCCAGGACAGCAAGGACUACACAGAGAAACCCUGUCUCUAGAAAACU
rnacentral:lncRNA from 1 species